rnacentral:tRNA from 1 species
GGUUCUGUAUUCAAUAAUGAUUUUAAAUUGCAAAUUUAAAGGUGAAUUUACUUCCGGAACUU